rnacentral:lncRNA from 1 species
UUUUAAAGCGUUGUCAUCCGUAUCAAUAAAUUGUUUAUCAAAAUUGAAGUGCAUGAGUAUUAUUAACGUCUGGGAUGAGUGUGAGAAUUCUCUGUUGAUGGGAAUAAACAAAAUUUAGCUGAAUUUGUAUUAUUCAAAUUAAUGAAAAGGCAAGCUAGUGUGUGUUUAAAAUGAUAUUGUUGGAAUGGAUUUAUAGCAUGAAAAAUGUGUGUAACCGAUUUUAGGUUGACUUGGACUGCGAAUUUGAAAAUAAUAUAUUUGUAAAAUCACAUUCUAUAAGAUGACAUAUUUUGUAAGUAAGUUAACCUUCUAUUCUAAUUAUAGUAUCUUUGAAAUGCAUUUUAUAGCUGACUAUGCGGU